UUUCCGGCUUUCCCUCUAUUGAUUCCUCCUAUUUAUAGACCCCUUCUAAUUAAUCCAGCGCAAUACCAAUAUUGCCCCGAAAAAAACUCAUCGAUCUGUUGACCACCGCAUCUGCCCCGCUCGAUUCACCGCCGCCGCCGCCCCGCGAGAUCCCCCCGGCGCCCCAAGCUUGCCCACCUUCCUCGUUCGCUGACUCUUGGGCGGCGCUGCUAUAUCCAGCCACCGGCAGCGAGCCAGCUGCAGGCUCGACACUCUUCACGACCUCACCGUCUUCCUCCCUGCCCCUCUGUCCCAGCAGCACCAGCUCGUGAAUCAUUGGUCCUCGCCGUCGCCGCCUCCCAGGUUGAAACGACAAUCUAAUAGUGAGGUCCAAUGGUUGGAUGUUUUGCUCGCGCAAGAACAAUUUUUUCUAUGGAAGACUAGAAGUAGCAAAUACAGUUAGUGUUUAUCGAUGGAUUGAAUAAUGUAUUUUUUAGAGUGUGUUCCAAAUAAUUUAAAUGUAAUGAAUGCUCUUUUAGUGGCGUCGUUCUUUAUGUUCA